rnacentral:rRNA from 1 species
AUGCCUUACACAUGCAAGUCGAACGGCAGCACGGACUUCGGUCUGGUGGCGAGUGGCGAACGGGUGAGCAAUGUAUCGGAACGUGCCCAGUAGCGGGGGAUAACUACGCGAAAGCGUAGCUAAUACCGCAUACGCCCUACGGGGGAAAGCAGGGGAUCGCAAGACCUUGCACUAUUGGAGCGGCCGAUAUCGGAUUAGCUAGUUGGUGGGGUAACGGCUCACCAAGGCGACGAUCCGUAGCUGGUUUGAGAGGACGACCAGCCACACUGGGACUGAGACACGGCCCAGACUCCUACGGGAGGCAGCAGUGGGGAAUUUUGGACAAUGGGGGAAACCCUGAUCCAGCCAUCCCGCGUGUGCGAUGAAGGCCUUCGGGUUGUAAAGCACUUUUGGCAGGAAAGAAACGUCGCGGGUUAUACCCCGCGGAACUGACGGUACCUGCAGAAUAAGCACCGGCUAACUACGUGCCAGCAGCCGCGGUAAUACGUAGGGUGCAAGCGUUAAUCGGAAUUACUGGGCGUAAAGCGUGCGCAGGCGGUUCGGAAAGAAAGAUGUGAAAUCCCAGAGCUUAACUUUGGAACUGCAUUUUUAACUACCGGGCUAGAGUGUGUCAGAGGGAGGUGGAAUUCCGCGUGUAGCAGUGAAAUGCGUAGAUAUGCGGAGGACACCGAUGGCGAAGGCAGCCUCCUGG